GCCGAUGUCCACGUAGCGGUUUUGAACUUGCGUGCACGCAGCGUCAACGCAAUUGCGGUAGGAAGUACCCAACAUCAAAUAGAAUCAUGCACACGCACUUGCGUUAACGCGGCGUCGACACGCGUCUCAUUUGCGGCGAGAGUUACCGCAAAGUCACCGCAAUUCCCCACAGGAACGCUGCGUGCACGCGAGUAUUUUUUGACAUUUCUCUAUUCUUUUUCUUUCCAACAAGAUUUUCUAAUGGGAAAAUCUGUGAUGUGAAAGAAUGUGUCAGAGCGAAAUCAAAACAAACAAAAAUACUUCGCAAAUCAGUUCAUUUUGGUUUCGCAAAUUAAUUUGCAAAUUGCAACACUUUUCAAAUCUAGCUUCUUUAAAUAAUAGCAAUUGUAAUAGUUCGGAGCGGUGUUUCUUUCGUUCCUGUGUUAGUACCAGUCGCUGUCAAAACACCUUUGGAAAGAACUGACAAGCAACCAUCCCAGGCUGGUGGAUAGAGUCAAAGUCAAAGGAAACGGUGAUGUGGCAGUUUUGGGAUGAAUAACGGACCAGGCAAAAUUCAACCAACGAAGUUCCAACCAACAUUCCGCGGGACCCUGUAUACAUCAAGGAAGGCGAUACCAGUUCCGCCAUGGGAUGAAUUAUUAAAUAUAGGAAUGUGAACGGAAGGAAAUCGUCAAAUAAUGUGGAUUGCAAUUGCAAGAAGAAACGAGAUCAGAUAAAGAGAUGGCGAGCUACAGUACUAAUGCGUUUCUUCUAGUGUUGUGGGCAACGCUACUGCGAUCGGUCCGUGUUGCAGUGAAGUGAAAAUUGCAAUGAUAAUAACGACGUUUGGCAUUUAGAUAGCACUUCUUUGGAAGAACAACGACAAACGUAGCAACACGCCAGCAAUCGCUUGUGAUGCUUUCGGAGGAGGAUUUUGAGCACCUUAUUUGUAGGAGUGACUGCAGUAUCUGACCAAAAUGUUUAAUGACUUUUUAUUCGUGAGCAAAUGAUUACCGAUAAAUGGAACUAAUAAAAAUCGUACACCAAAUGCAACAGAUGCUCAAUUCAAGACAAGAACAAUUGAAUGCCUGAAUCCACUAUUAUUCAAGAUUAAUCUCCUCCUAUGAAGUAAUAAAUUUAAGUUGGAAAUAAAGAAUGAGCAACAUUAUGAAAUUGUAAUAAUAUUCAUUUAUUAUGAUUGUAGAAAACAUAUUGGGAUUAAGCAAAGCGAGGCCAAAUUUCUGUCUCUCUGUAUUGAAAACGUUUUUAUUCAAACAAUCGAAUUGUGCGGCACGAUUUCAAUUUCACAGAUCUACAAUUAAUUUCGAAAGUUCAAACUUUU